rnacentral:rRNA from 1 species
GACGAACGCUGGCGGCGUGCUUAACACAUGCAAGUCGAACGGAAAGGCCCUGCUUUUGUGGGGUGCUCGAGUGGCGAACGGGUGAGUAACACGUGAGUAACCUGCCCUUGACUUUGGGAUAACUUCAGGAAACUGGGGCUAAUACCGGAUAGGAGCUCCUGCUGCAUGGUGGGGGUUGGAAAGUUUCGGCGGUUGGGGAUGGACUCGCGGCUUAUCAGCUUGUUGGUGGGGUAGUGGCUUACCAAGACUUUGACGGGUAGCCGGCCUGAGAGGGUGACCGGCCACAUUGGGACUGAGAUACGGCCCAGACCCCUACGGGAGGCAGCAGUGGGGAAUAUUGCACAAUGGGCGGAAGCCUGAUGCAGCAACGCCGCGUGCGGGAUGACGGCCUUCGGGUUGUAAACCGCUUUCGCCUGUGACGAAGCGUGAGUGACGGUAAUGGGUAAAGAAGCACCGGCUAACUACGUG